rnacentral:rRNA from 1 species
AAUAUUGCGCAAUGGGCGAAAGCCUGACGCAGCGACACCGCGUGAAGGAUGAAGGUCUUCGGAUUGUAAACUUCUGUUAAGUGGGAAGAAAGGUCUAUAAGUAAUAUAUAUAGAAGGUGACGGUACCACUAAAGAAAGCACCGGCUAACUUCGUGCCAGCAGCCGCGGUAAUACGAGGGGUGCAAGCGUUAUUCGGAAUCAUUGGGCGUAAAGGGUGCGUAGGCGGCACGUUAAGUCAACUGUCAAAUCUCCCGGCCUAACUGGGAACCGGCAGUAGAUACUGAUGUGCUAGAGGGUGGAAGAGAGAAGUGGAAUUCUUGGAGUAGCGGUAAAAUGCGUAGAUCUCAAGAGGAACACCGAUGGCGAAGGCAGCUUCUUGGUCCACAUCUGACGCUAAGGCACGAAAGCGUGGGGAGCAAACAGGAUUAGAUACCCUGGUAGUCCACGCUGUA